rnacentral:rRNA from 1 species
UACGUAGGGUGCGAGCGUUGUCCGGAAUUAUUGGGCGUAAAGAGCUCGUAGGCGGUCUGUCGCGUCGGUCGUGAAAACUUGGGGCUUAACCCUGAGCUUGCGGUCGAUACGGGCAUGACUGGAGUUCGGCAGGGGAGACUGGAAUUCCAGGUGUAGCGGUGAAAUGCGUAGAUAUCUGGAGGAACACCGGUGGCGAAGGCGGCAUCCUGGACCGGUAUUGACGCUGAGGCGCGAAAGCUAGGGGAGCAAACGGG